UGCACCCCAUAGUGCCACCAACCCAUCCCAGACAAAGCAGGGAGCCGCGGAGAAGUAGGAGGGAGGUCUGGAGGAUUCCCGGUGGGGUACUAGUCCCCGCCACUUACCGCAGAGACCUGUCUCGUCCUCCACCAUCACGUUGAAGCCACCACGGCCUCUCCAAAGAAACUCACUCUCACCGCGCCGCCGAGGCCGGGCCAGGCUGGGGCUGCCGCCGCCGCCGCCCCCACCUCCGCUGACUUGGCUGCAGCCCGCCGCCUUCUCUCUGGCCCGGCCGGGUGGGCUUCCGUAGGGGCACGCACGCUGACAGGCACUCGCCUCAAGGCUGAAGCACCACACCCUCUUAAAGGGGCCGCAGCUCAGCCUGGCUAGAAUAGCCUCGGGUUGGAUGAGAACAAGUUUUAGGUUAGCCAAUCAGACCAUAGAAAUAAAGCCCAAUUAGAGUAGACCUUGAAGUUUGCUCUCAUCCAAUCCGAACAUGUAGUCUAGGAACCCCGUCUAUAAAGGAUGGCAAGCGGGAGUCUUGCCAUUUCAGACGUGGGCCCACCUGCUCUGAGCUGGCUUCGAGGAGAAGUGGGAGUAGCCGGCCACCGCCCAUGCUGGAGGCUAGAGUCUGCCUUAUCGGCUCGGCUCCCCUCGCUGUUGCGGUUGUUGGCACUGACGGGGACUACAGCGCAGCUAAAAGGCUGGGAAAAUGGCAAUGAAUUAAUGACAAGAAAUUAACGGUGAAGUGAUGACUAAAAUUCUACAUUGCUCCGAAAGCAAGUAAGAAAAUCAGUGGUUAUAGAGAAGUUCUUACAUGAAGUAAUAAAAAUAAAAAUUAUUAUCUUUUCCUCUUCUCCAAAUGAAACAACAUACUGUUCUGCAUUUUAUUCUACCUAACAAUAUAUCUUUUGAAUGACUCUUGUAUUUUAAACCUAAAAUUUGUUUAAGCCUUGCUUAAUAUUUAAAAAGAUAGUAUAGGUCACAAUGAUAUUUGAUGCAAACCUUGGAAAGACAGAAUCUUAUUGAUCCAAGAGCUUUUAGAAUUCAAAGUACUAUUCUGGUUGUUAUUCUACUCAUUUAAGAUAGGGAAAUGAACAUUUACAUUCUGGCGACCUCAGAAGUGCAAUGAACAAAGGGCACCAGCCAGGUAGGGCAAAGGUCUGUGUGCGCCCUGUUGCUUUUACAUAUUUAUCAGAGGCAUGCUCUGUUAUAUUACAUUAUUUUUCUCUUCAGUGUUUACUGAGGAAAAACAAGUAUCUCCUCGGGCAAGUCAACUGUUAACUUUGCAGUUUUUAUUUAAUCUCCCUGGAAUGUAACCCUUAACUUUAAAGAAUGUAAUGGCCAUAAAACUUAUAAAGCGUGUUUCUUAAGGAAAUCAUUCAUACCUGUUUGUUUAAUCUACCAGAUAUGAAUGCGAUAAAAAAUUGAAUUUAUCCACUUAAGCUGUAGAUGAACUUUCCACCUUUCUGAUCAGAAAUAGACCAUCUUAUAGUACAGAUUCUGUUAUUAAUCAGAAUAUUUCAUUUAGACUUUUUCCAUUAAACUUUUUCUUAGAGGCUAUUCAAAAUAAAGGUGCUUCUAGCAGUUUCGUAUCUAAAUAUGAUGCAAAGCCUUGCUCUUCCAUGGUAUCCCUUGAAUGAGCCAAACUUAUUUAGCCAUUCCCCUAUAAUUAAAUAGCUA
ensembl:lncRNA